rnacentral:rRNA from 1 species
UCCUACGGGAGGCAGCAGUGAGGAAUAUUGGUCAAUGGGAGGAAUCCUGAACCAGCCAUGCCGCGUGCAGGACGACGGCUCUACGAGUUGUAAACUGCUUUUGUACCGGGGUAAAAUGCCUUACGAGUAGGGUUUUGAAAGUACGGUACGAAUAAGGAUCGGCUAACUCCGUGCCAGCAGCCGCGGUAAUACGUAGGGAGCGAGCGUUGUCCGGAUUUACUGGGUGUAAAGGGUGCGUAGGCGGCCCUGCAAGUCAGAAGUGAAAUCCAUGGGCUUAACCCGUGAACUGCUUUUGAAACUGCAGG